rnacentral:misc_RNA from 1 species
GUGGGAGGGGGCUUGCCCCCGAUAGCGGUGGAUCAGUCAGCUUGUUUUUCACUGACACAUCGCAUCGGGGGCAAGCCCCCUCCCAC